rnacentral:lncRNA from 1 species
ACUUUUCGUUCUUUUUUCUUCGGUACCGCCGGUGUACCGAUUUUAUCGGCCGAAUCGUGCCGGUUCCCCGCCGGUCCGGUACGAGACGGGGUGUACUGGCCGGUUCGGCACGGUAUGGCAAACCUUGGCCACUCCUAUCCUUCCAUUUAUCCUCCAACAAGUCUUAAUCCAUGCUUAUCUAUGUUUUCUUCCUUCCAUCAACAAACUCUUUCCUUCUUUUUCUUCAUCCCAU